AACACCCUGAUGUCAUCAUGGGUAAUUGUGAUACUGAUCUACAAAUAACUUGGUUAUUUUGACGCAGGGUGAUUUGUAGAUCAGUCAGUCUCUGAAGAUGACUACAAUGUCACGAGUCUCAAUCACCAACGUUAACAGUAGAGAUAUAGUGUUGUCAUGCAUAUAGUGGUGUGGUAAUCAGUGUCCUGUCCUUUCUGGAUCAUUAGUGGUGUGGUGAUCAGUGUCCUGUCCUUUCUGGAUCAUUAGUGGUGUGGUGAUCAGUGUCCUGUACCUUCUAGAUUCAUUAGUGGUGUUUGGUAACAGUGUCCUGUACCUUUCUGAUCAUUAGUUGGGUGUAGAUCAGUGUCCUUACCUUUCUGGAUCAUUUAGUGGUGUAGUGUGUGAUCAGUGUCCUGUACCUUUCUGGAUCAUUAGUGGUGUAGUGUGGGAUCAGUGUCCUGUACCUUUCUGGAUCAUUAGUGGUGUGGUGAUCAGUGUCCUGUACCUUUCUGGAUCAUUAGUGGUGGUGGUAAUCAGAGUCCUGUACCUUUCUGU
rnacentral:lncRNA from 1 species